rnacentral:rRNA from 1 species
UAACCUGGUUGAUCCUGCCAGUAGUGUAUGCUUCUCCUAAAGACUAAGCCAUGCAUGCCUUCGAAUACGAGGAAGCAAUUCUCUCUGAAUCUGCGAACGGCUCCGCAAACCAGUUGUAAACCAAAGCAAGCAUACUCGUGGUCUGCCCUUCACGGGGUGGGCUGCGGGUGAUACGGAUAACCCUGGUAAUUCUGAGGCUAAUACGAGACUGUACUCCCUGGCUAACCGGGCGACUGGUAGGCUGGGGGGCGUGCGAUCUAUUUGCAAGACGAUUCCAGGAAGGGGUGCACGCUCUGACCGCGACAAAGACAGUUCUGCCGGACCUUCACGGGCGAGUCAGUUCUGAGCGGCUCUUGCGAUGUGCUUCUGACCUAUCAACUAGAUGGCAGCGUAACGGACAUGCCAUGGUUACAACGGGUACAGAGGAUUAGGGUUCGAUCCUGGAGAGUGGGCCUGAGAGAUUG